AUUCGUGGUUUCCUUCAGUUUAACUUGAACAUGAGAGGAAAGGUCACGGCUCCUGCAAAGGGUCAUGAAAUAAGUUUCACUUGAGUGUUUUUGAACAAAUUCUAUUAAUAAGUCAACGUCCACGUGAAAAAAAAAGUUUAAAUUUCAAUUGGCUGAUCUGAGACAGAGUUCAGACAUGUUUCCCCUCCUCCACUUGUGUUCCAAAUAAAGUGAGCGGAAACAGCAGCUCAGUCUGAACCCGCUCUGCUCAACCCUAAAGAGACUAAUAAACAAGUCUGCACUGUAACCUACAAAAGAAACUCAUCCAUCAUCAUCGGGGGCCGGUCUGAGGCGCCCUCUGCUGGCGGUGCAGCUGCAUCACAAACAGCUCAAACACACAACCCCGCCAAGUGUUCAUCAUCCGUGACAACACAAACCUGCUUCUCCAACAAAUAAGUAAAUAAAUAAAUAAAUAACGGUGUUAAUUCAUUAUUAAAUUUAAGAAGUCCGCAUUUAAUUCCACGUGAGAGAUUUGUGAGUGUGUGUUGUGGUUGUGUAUUAUUAUAAAUCUGCUAUUUAAAUACCAAAUAAACAGUUUUCUUGUGAAUAUUGACCUUGAUAUAAGAUUUUAAUAUUUAAAUUUGGGGGAAAAAUGUUUAAAUAUUUAAAUUAUAUGCGCUUAAAAUGAUUAUUGCUAUGCUUCAUCUCUGCUCUUGUGUUUCCCCAAGUCCCAUUUCAAGCCAUAAAAACAGGCUUGUGGCAAAGCAGGGGAAACAAAAGAGGAAUAAAAUUCAGAUUUACGCAGCUUGUUUGGAGCCAUUUAGCCUAAAAUAUGAGAGGAAUAAAGCUGCAUCUAUCUCUCAUCUUCUUCAUUUUUCUUUGCACACUUGAGCGUGUGGUGACGGUGCAAAGUCUGGCACUGGCAGCAGCGCGCUUCCUCCUGACGCAUGUGGGGCUGCAGCCUCCACCGUCUACUGACCCAGCGAUGAUCCCCGCCGCCAUGAAUUAUGCAUGAGAUCCGGGUACAGAUUACCCCUAUCAAUAUGCAAUACUCAUUACGCUGGUUAAAUUGCCACUUAAUAGUUAUGAAUAUGUGGAAAAUGUCUGGGACGCAUAUAGCCCACCAAUGUUUUUAACUUUUCCCUUUUUCUUUCUUUCUUUCUUUUUUUUUUUUUUUUUUUAAAAUCUAGACUGAGUUUGAAAAGACGUUAAAAUAUAUUAGUCCCCAGCAGAUAAUGUAAUAUAUAUCUAUUAUAUUUUUUUAAAUAAUUUAAUUUGGACAAUGCACUAUGCUGGGAUUUCUUUUCGUGCAAUCAGUGUCCAGCUCGGAGGUGUCCGGGACUUCACCUUUGGCCGCUGGGUGACUUGACAGAUCGGGAUAAAUCAUUCCCAGGACCUCGCUCAAGUUCGUUUUGUGGCAGCUCCACAAAAGCUCUUAUUAGCCUCAAAGGGUUUAUUUUUGUUCCUUUAAAUCAGUUUGUGUUGGGAAUAUAACAAAAAAUAAAAAAAUACAUAGAAGAAAUUGUCAAUAUAUUGUCACAUUCUGAGCUGAAAUAAUAAUUUUAGUAAAAUAUAAAUAACUGGUGCUGAUUAUUAUGGUUAUUUUUACCUCAAAAUGGAGCCUUUUAGGAAACAAAAUUUUGAAUUAAAUGAAUUAAAAGCAGCAUUCAGGCUGCCGUGGGCCGUGUGAAAAAUAAAAAUAACAAAUAAGGGGCAAUUGUACCAAGUUUUCCAGCAGUUUAAAGCAACUAAAUAUGACUGGACACUGCUUCCUUCCCCUGUCCAGCCUUCUGCAGUCCCAUCCAUGCAGUUAAGCCGUCACUUUCAUUCAAGGUUGUGAAUUAUAUAGUACAUUGUCUACUCCCCAAAACCAUAAAACCAACUUUAUGGACCUCACGUGACUUUUCACAGUCUGUAAGUAAUAUAGGCCUAUACAAUCUUUGGUAAGAGGGGAUUUUUACCAACUUCAGCCUUGACUAUAUACCUGUAAAGCCAAAGCCACUCUUUUUUUUUUUUUUUUUCUCCAGGGGGGAAAUAUUUUGUUGUUGUUUUUUUUUUUUCCUUUAAGUCUGCACAUGGCAAACUCGCAUCGAGACGAGGUGUGAGCUCAUCCUGAUUCCUGAUUCAUCAACACCUCUGACCGAAAGUCCACGAAGACGCGCACAGAGAGAGAGGCUGGGAGGACACAGCUCAUCAUCAUCACCAUCAUCACCAUCCCCAUCAUCACUUUAGCACACCGUGAUCAAGUGGACAAUAACUCCACAAUUUCAAAAAACGCCAAAGCAGAAAAAGCCAACGAGCUGAACAAAGACAGCGGAUGCAGAGACGCUGUAAAACUUUAUGGCCUCUGAAGUUAGAAUGAAAAACGUCCAGAUGAAACCACAGACUCACUCAUUCAAAAUGAUCUGGGGGAGAAAAAGCUUCAGUCCGAGGGCCUCUCGGGAGCCGGUUUUCCUCACUGCCCUUUACUGUACUGGGGGCCCUGACGGGACGGCUUGCGGACGUCGUGAGAGAAGCCAGGCCUCCUGACCAGCGGGGCCCGGGAGGAGAUGAC